rnacentral:rRNA from 1 species
UACGUAGGUGGCAAGCGUUGUCCGGAAUUACUGGGCGUAAAGGGUGUGUAGGCGGAUAUUUAAGUAGAAAGUGAAAGGUUGGAGCUCAACUCCAACAUUGCUUCCUAUACUGGAUGUCUUGAGUUUCGGAGAGGAAGAUGGAACGACACGUGUAGCGGUGAAAUGCGUUGAUAUGUGUCGGAACACCAAUAGCGAAGGCAAUCUUCUGGACAGUGACUGACGCUGAGCCGCGAAAGCGUGGGGAGCAAACAGG